GAUGAACGCUAGCGGCAGGCCUAAUACAUGCAAGUCAAGGGGAUAGCAAUAUCACCGGCGGACGGGUGCGUAACGCGUACACAACGUGCCCAAGGGCGGAGGAAAGCGGCGGGAAACUGCCGGUAAUACUCCAUGGUGUUGUUGAGUGGCAUCACUUAACAACUAAAGUACAAGCGCCCUUGGAUCGGUGUGCGUUCGAUUAGCUAGUUGGCGGGGUAACGGCCCACCAAGGCUUCGAUCGAUAGGGGGUGUGAGAGCAUGACCCUCCACACGGGUACUGAGACACGGACCCGACUCCUACGGGAGGCAGCAGUAAGGAAUAUUGGACAAUGGGCGGAAGCCUGAUCCAGCCAUGCCGCGUGAAGGACGAAGGCGCUCAGCGUUGUAAACUUCUUUUGGAUGGGAACAAUAACUCCGACUUGUCGGAACUUGAGGGUACCAUCAGAAUAAGCACCGGCUAACUCCGUGCCAGCAGCCGCGGUAAAGUACAGUGU
rnacentral:rRNA from 1 species